rnacentral:rRNA from 1 species
CUACGGGUUGCAGCAGUGGGGAAUAUUGCACAAUGGGCGCAAGCCUGAUGCAGCCAUGCCGCGUGUAUGAAGAAGGCCUUCGGGUUGUAAAGUACUUUCAGCGGGGAGGAAGGGAGUAAAGUUAAUACCUUUGCUCAUUGGCGUUACCCGCAGAAGAAGCACCGGCUAACUCCGUGCCAGCAGCCGCGGUAAUACGGAGGGUGCAAGCGUUAAUCGGAAUACUGGGCGUAAAGCGCACGCAGGCGGUUUGUUAAGUCAGAUGUGAAAUCCCCGGGCUCAACCUGGGAACUGCAUCUGAUACUGGCAAGCUUGAGUCUCGUAGAGGGGGGUAGAAUUCCAGGUGUAGCGGUGAAAUGCGUAGAGAUCUGGAGGAAUACCGGUGGCGAAGGCGGCCCCCUGGACGAAGACUGACGCUCAGGUGCGAAAGCGUGGGGAGCAAACAGGAUUAGAUACCCCCGUAGUC